rnacentral:sRNA from 1 species
AAGACAUUUUGAACGGAUUCACACCGCGCAGCACCAUUUUAGACAUGCACAUGCAACUUAGUGAUGUAACCUUAUUGUGUUGAAUAUACCACGUGACCUCGUGGACCGGCCACCAUGUUUGAACAAGGACAAAGAUGAUGAGAUCUUAUCCACAAACCAUGCUUCAGUCAGCACACUAUCAGGUGACCUUUGGCCUUUCGUGAAAGAUGACCUAAAUAGGUAGUCUUCUUUCGGUCGUUGGUCAAUGUGGUCAGCUGAGACGUCACCGUGUAGAUGGAGUGCCCCUGAUAAUCAUCGCACGCACCUGCAGGCAAUAACAGUUUCCGGAUCUUCCAGCAGUAAAUGUCGUGGCCCACCCCACCCCAAUCAUUUCACCCCCCUCCCCACUGUGACGUAAUGUGACAAACUCAGUGUCAAGCUUUAAAAGAUGUGACACGAAGCGGCCAUUAACUGGGAUUAGCAGAUGACCAGAUUUCGGACCGCCCAGAAAGUGUUGUCACACAAGUUAACUUGUUUACGAGUCUCCUUUCGCCCCCCCCCUUUUUUUUUCUAUUUGUAUUUACAUCCUUCUUGUACCACAAACAAGUCAAAUGUAUUUUAAGUCAUAUGUCAAAAGUUUGAAAUCUUAACCAGUUCCUUGUAGAUUAAAAAUAUCUAAAUUUAAAUAAAAGAAUAGUUAAAAAACAAGGACUACGAAAAGAAACGAGCUCAAUUUAAAAAUAAAAACUAGGCCAGUUUAAUAGAAAAUGUCACUGAAUAAAAAAACAACAACUCUAGGCUGGCUUAAAAUAAA